GAAGGAGGGAAAGACAGAGUAAUGUCAGCGUAUGUAUCUUCACAGGACAGAGACAGUGGGCAGGGUUUUGAAAGACGAUCAAGAGUUACAACAAAAUGAACAAGCUUCAGAAGGACAUUACAGAUAGAACUGUGUUCAAAGAAAACAGUGGAAUGAAACUGGCAGUGCAUCCAGGGAACAAAGGAGUCUGGUCUUAUUAAAUGCAACAGGGGUACUAAGAGCAACCUAGUGAGAAAGGCAGGCAGUGACCAGAUCAAGGGGUUCUUGGAAGCUCUUCUAAGAGACUUAUACUUUAUAUUUUGCAUAAGGUUUAUGCCUCAAAAUGAUCACCCUGAAAGUGAUUUUGAGGAUAUAUCAGAGAAGUUCUGUUUUAUUUUUCCCUCGCGGCCUGCUGUAACAAAUUAUCACAAACUUGGUGGGUUAAAACAGUGACAUUUAUUCUCUCACAGUUCUGGAAGCCAGAAAUCUGAGCCAGGAGUCUAAAAUCUAGGUGUCAGCAUGGCCAUAUUCCCUCUGGAGCCUCUAGUGGAGAAUCCAUCUUUUUUUCUUCCAGUUACUGGUGGUUGCCAACUUCCUUGGCUAUGGCCACUCUAAUCUCUGCCUUCAUCUUUACAUGACCUUCUCCCCUGUGUGUCUGUGUCUUCUCCUUUUCUGUUUUUCAUAAAGACAGUUGUCACUGGAUUUAGGGCCCACCUGGAUGAUCCAGUAUGAUCUCAUCUCAAGAUCCUUAACCUAAUUACAUCUGCAAAAACUCUUUUUCCAAAUAAGGUCACAUUCAUAGGUUCUAAGGAUGAAGAUGUGAAUAUAUCUGUUGGGGAGCCACCAUGAUCAAUGCUAAAGUCAGGGGACUAUUUAGAAGGUGAUUGCAAUUAACCAGACAACUCAACAAAGACUUCUUUAACUCUUGGAUUUAAUUUCUGCUAUGAGAUUGAAACAUGCACAUUUAUGUACCCCAUCACUGCUGGGUAUAUCAAUACCCUCUUCGUAGCAUCAUUAUUAGCAUGAGCAAAACAAAUUUAAGCUGCAGCACAGAACUUCUGUCCAAUGAUAUCUACGCAAGUGAGCAAAAAAGAGAUACAGUAACCAACAGAAGGAAAAAGAAUGAAACUCGGAUAUAUAUAUUUUUUGUAAGUAAUGAAAGGGGACUCUGGAGUAGAGGGAAGGGUAAUAGUACAGUUUUCUGUCUAACCACAUCCCUCCUACUAGACCCCACGCUAUUCCAGAAGGAGUAUCAGUGAGUGUGCAGAGUCCUGAAAUUUUUCAUUAAUACCCCCAAACCUGAACAGAAACAGACUGAAUGCAUAUCCUCAUCUCUUCUUUUUUAACACAAUGGAAUGGUUCUCGGGUAAGGCAGGUUAAGUGGAGAAAGCAGUCAAUGUAGUAACUCUCUCUGAUGAAAAUCAGGGUUCCAGAGUUACACCUUGCAUUGAAGAACAAGUUGAAGUUCAAGUACACCUCCACCAUGGAAAUGUGAUAUACCUCCUAGCUAGUUGUAUUGCACCUUAUGUUUAAUAAGGUCUUGGAAAUGAGCAGAUCUGAAGUAUCCUAAAAGAGAGCUCCUCAGCGGAUCUCUCCUCUCCUCCUCUCUUUUCU